rnacentral:rRNA from 1 species
UAUUGGACAAUGGGGGAAACCCUGAUCCAGCAAUGCCGCGUGUGUGAAGAAGGCCUGAGGGUUGUAAAGCACUUUAGGUGGGGAGGAUGGUAGAGCAGGUUAAGAGCUAGUUUUAUUGACGUUACCCGCAGAAUAAGCACCGGCUAACUCCGUGCCAGCAGCCGCGGUAAUACGGAGGGUGCAAGCGUUAAUCGGAAUUACUGGGCGUAAAGAGUGCGUAGGCGGUUGAGUAAGUUAUCUGUGAAAUCCCUGGGCUUAACCUAGGUGGAAAGAUAAACUGCUUACAGAGUGUGGAGAGGAUAGUGAAUUUCCGGUGAGCGGUAAAUGCGAAGUCGAAGAACACCAGUGGCAAGGCGGCAUCUGGCCAACUGCGCUGGCCAG